AAUUUCAUGAGCUGCCCUAUAAAUUUCCACGGAACUCAAACUUCGUAUAUAUCUUUUUCCUUUUUCUCUUUCCAGGAAUUCACAUAUUCUCAAAAGAAAAAAAUCGUUGCUUAAAAUGGGUCCAGGCGGCCCAGGCCCAGGCGGCCCGCCCGGUUGGGGUCCAUCCGGCCCAUCGGGGCCGGGUUUUUUCGGUGGGUUUUGCGAUAUCGUUAACUCUUGCUUAAGCUUUUUGUGCUGCUGCUGGUUAUUACAGGACUGCUUUGGGGGCCCGCCUGGAGGCCCAUUCCGCCCACCUGGGCCUCCAUGAGUUUCCAAGUUGCCAUAGGUUCCAAUGCUUAUCUUCCAUGAUUAUUGAAUAUAUAUAUAUAUAUAUAUACACACAUGUGUGUGUGUGAGACGUUCUAUAUGUUAUGUAAUUAAUUAUCAAUCAGAACUCUGCUAAUCUCUGUUUGAUGUAAUAAUACAUUCCUGGAACGGUAGAAGGUUGAAGAAUUAUUUAUUGUAA